UACGUAGGGGGCAAGCGUUGUCCGGAAUCAUUGGGCGUAAAGCGCGUGUAGGCGGCUCGAUAAGUCUGCUGUGAAAGUCCAGGGCUCAACCCUGGGAUGCCGGUGGAUACUGUCGAGCUCGAGUCCGGAAGAGGCGAGUGGAAUUCCUGGUGUAGAGGUGAAAUUCGUAGAUAUUGGGAAGAACACCCGUGGCGAAGGCGGCUCACUGGCUCGCAACUGACGCUCAGGCACGACAGCGUGGGGAGCAAACAGG
rnacentral:rRNA from 1 species